UGCAUCUGAUAGGUCUCUGUGUGAUAAAUAUUUUGAAUUGCCUUCUAGGUAAGAGCCUAAUCCUGCUUAGGGAAACAACUUGGAAAGUGGUUUUUUUUUUUUUUUUUUUGAUUUUUAAACUUUUUUUUAAAAAAGUUUUUUAACGUGUGAACUCAUCCAUUAGACUUUACGCUCAAAACACAGGAGCUUGAAGGGGAAAACAAAAAUCAACUCUAAAAUGUUGAAUAGAGAUAUCUUUUUUGUUAUUAAUCUCAGUGUUUAUGAGGAAAGAACCCGUCUCUAAGACUUGAUCCCAUCUCCUUUAUUUGAUGGAUUGUUAAAUCUAUUGAUGAGUGAGUAGUUCAUCCAGCAUCCCCAGCAGCAAGGUCAGUGGAGUGAUUCCUCAAGCCGGCAGGGGAGGAUGGGGUCCUGGUAGAGGAGCCUCCUCCCUGCAGGAGCAUUUUGAGUAUGCAGAACACAGUGGCUCAGCCUGGAGCUGGCAGUUAGUGCUCUCACACACACACACACACACACACACGCAGCAGCGCUUUCCCCUCAAGUGAGGCGGCGUUAGUAACUGCAGUCCCGGCAUCCUAGGCUGGGGACCAGCGGCUACUGGCUGGUUUGUUAGAGGACCCUGGAGCCCAGUUUCCGAGGGACCCGGUGACACGCCGCUGUCACAACUAGUGACAGCUAUUUCUUCCCUGCUGCUUCCCCAGCUCCUGGCAAGAGGACACCCUCUUCCAAAAGCCAGGCAGCCCGGGGAGGAGGCUGCUCCCUGCAGAAGCGAUGCCCAAUUCAACAAGCAACGUAAGAGAUCCAAAGAUGGGAUCUUAACCAGGCCUUCUGAGAAGGUGAAAGGUAAUUUAAAUCAGUUGUUGAGAUAUCUUUUUUCAUUCUUGGUUUUCCCCAGCCCACCUCCUUUCUCACAUAGCCUUGUGAGGCAGGUAAAGAGUUAGCCAGUUGCUUGCACAUUAUGGAUCACCAUUCAGAGCUGUCUCUGCUGAGAGGGAAUCAAUUUCAUUUUAUUUGGAGCCAGAGGUGAUGAUCCUCUGUCACUGCUGGCUCCUCGUCAUGAAGCUUCUUAAUUUUAAAACACUUUUUUCCUCCUCUGUAUCUGAUAGCCUUUCCUGGGUAGCCUGGUGAAUCAGUGUCUUGGGAGAUUUUCAAAAAUAAAGGCCAGAUGAACACUAUAGAUUAAUUCA
rnacentral:lncRNA from 1 species